AAAUUUAUCAUUAAUUUGAAUUUUAUUUUCAAAAUAUUCUCCCUAUAACAUUUAAAGACAAUAUAUAAUAUUUAAUGACAAUGUAUAGUAGUAAUUUCACCACUGCCACUAAUACCGUUAAAAUUGUUGUUAUUGCAAAACAAUGAAUGUAAUUUUAUCAAAAUUAUAAGUAACUUUAAUUUCUUUGUUAUUUAGGAGCAAGCAUAGUAUAUUGAAAGUCACGUUUUCAAAAGAGUACAGUUUCCUCCAAUUGAUUGCCCUUUACGGACCACAUUAAUUAUUCGGCCUGUUUGUCUAAUAGGUAUCUAUAGAUCUAUUGUUCUUUUAAAAAAAAAAAAUUAUAUUGAUUUGCUAAUUGUACCACAUUCACUACAAUAAAUUUGAGUUUUAAAGACGAAUUUUUAGGAACAAAAAUAACUAGUUUGCAAAAAUCAUGUUUUUAAGAACAAAAUGAAGAAAUUUAAAAAAGAGAAACAUUUAAUCAUGUUAUUACCUUUUUGAAACAAGUCUAUUUGAUUGCAAAAACGUCAUUCACUUUUCUCUACAAUUUUAAUCGGUUUCCAAUAAACCAAAAUCAUACAUUAUUUUAUUUUAUAUAUUCAUUCUUUAAGCUCAACAAUCGGGACACUCGAAAAGAAUGUCCUCUCUCUCUCUCUCUCUCGAAUGCACUGCACUUCUUUCUAUCUCAUGAAUUGGUGGUUUGUUGAUUGCUUCUGAGAUUCAAUCCCUAAUUUGAUUUUGAUGAUAAUUUCAUCUCCGAGGUGUCUCACAGCAUUUCUCCCGACAGCAAUUUUAGUAUCCAGGAGUGAUCAAUUAAUCGAUUUCAGUCUCAUAGAUAUGGUUUUCGAUCUGUUGUUCGCAUUUGUUCUUUGAAAAUUCUUAUUUAUUGGUGUAAUGUUUGUGCUGAUUAUAUAUUAUCAUAAUAUGAUUUGUUUUUAAUGCGUAUUUGUGAGUGUUAGAUUCGGUAAUUGUAGAUAUGAUAGUCGAUUACUCAUUUGAGCUAAAAUAUGUACGAAAUCAAUGAUGUUGUGGUUUUGUAUUGGAGUUUUUGCUCUGUAAUUUUGGUAAUUUGGAUUUGGUAAUUGUGCAAUUGAGUUGGUCUCUGUCACUAUAUGAAAUUCGGUCACUAGAGCUCUGUGAAUUUGAAUUUCUGCAACUAUUUUUCUGUCUAUUGUUAAGCAAUUUUCUCUCUCCAUUACUGAGAAUUCAAGUAUUUUCAACUCUUUCUAUCUCUCUGCAAUAUUUGUAAUUUAUGAGUUAUUGGAUGGCUAUUUAACACAAAAUUAUUUGGGUGAACUCUUACUAGUGUCAAGGUGACAACAUAGCAUAGGUUAUGACCUUCAAUUCAAGUUCUAUGAAAAUAAAAAUAAAAAUAAAAAUGAGGCAAUUCAAAUUCCAGAAGAUCUUAUAUCGUCAAGUAGCUAAUUAUUGGUAUUUUUAAAUUUAAAAUCGUUAAGUCAGCCUUAUUUCAAUCUCAUAUCCAACAAGAAAAGAAAUAUGUGUUCAGCCUUACUUUUUUGUUUAAUAGAUGGACAAAUAGAUUGUGUUCAGCCUUCUUCAAUUAUUUCAAUGUCACCUCUGCAAACUGUUUUAAUAUGAACCGUCGUGGGAUGGUAGGGUAGUUUAUCUAACAAAAUAUCUGAGAGCUCACCUACUUGCAUCUUAGAGAGCUGAAAAUGAAAUUCUAGAUGUUUUUAUUUUUUGUAAGGGACUGAUUGGUAACAAGAGGAUUUUUAGAGAGAGAGAGAGAGAGAGAGUUACUGGUAUUGAGAUGGAGAUUGGAAUCCAAAUUAGCAAAUUUGCAUAUGUUGUUAAAAUUUGUAAUAAGUUUGAAAAAAAAAUAUUAAUGAAAUAUAAAUCUAGAGAUUUUUUUUUUUAUUUUUUUAUAACUAAAUUUAAAUAAAGAAUUAAUGUAUAUUAUUACAGUUUAAAUCAAAAUAUAAGGACCCAUUUGUAAAUUAAAAAAAAAAGAGCCUAAGAAACAAAAAUUAAUUUGUCGAUAUUAUUUUUAUGGAGAUUUUAAUAAGGGCCCCUAUAGACCAUAAGAAUUUACAGGGGCAGAGGCAUGAUAACACAAAAUCAACGAGGUUAUGAUGAAAAAGGAUUGAAUUGCUUUGGCCAAGCACAAGACUUGAGCUGGAUUUAAUUUGUAUUGGUUAUAUUUAAGCUUGAGUUAGAUUUAAUUUAAAUUGGCUUACAUUAAAUAAUAUUUUACUUUGUGUUAUGUUUAAAUGUUAAUGACUUAUUUAUUUUAAUUAUUUAUUAUUGAUUGACAUCUAAUUGUAGCAUCAUAUUUCCUAUUUUAGUAUAUCCUAAUUUUUAAGCUUUUAAGCAUGUUAUGUUCUUUAUCCCCUCCUAGUUCAACACUUUUGUUACUUUCUGUUUGUUUUUCCUUUAGUUCUUUUGCACUAUGGAUAGGAGUUGGAUGCAACUUCAUAAUAGAAGGUCACCUCAGUACAUUGAUGGGGGUGAGGGAGGGAAUUUAUCAUAUUUGCUUGUGAUCAUAUGAAACCAGGGGUGGAUAAGAGGUACAUUAUGCUGGAAGUUCUUCGAACCCAUAUCUAAAUGAUGAUAUUCUGGACUUGGUUUCUUGGAAUGAAGAUGAUGACAGUGUAAUUUUUUUAUUGUUUGGUAUGACAGGAAGGUAAGUUUACCAAUGAACCCUAUACUAUCGAAUCUAUCCUCAAAUUGAUGCACGACCGAUAUAAGAACUAUUGAUGACCUACGACAAAACUCUUUUAAAAGUUUUCCCUCACCAAUGGAAAAAGAGUGUGGAGGUUAUUGUGCCAAAAGUGGUAUGAGAAGGACUAUAAGGUAACUUUGUAAUUUUGUGCUCAUUUUCUGUCAUUCUGUUUAGAAAAUCAGUGUAUUUUUAACAUUGUCUUACUGUAUAUUAAACAUGAUGUAUUCCUUAUGUCAGGUAAAUAUUUGGCACUUGCAUAUAUUCUUUAGGAACUUGGAUUUGUUGAGUUGUACAAAAAGACACAUUUUAGUGACAAAAAAGAGGCAUGAGUGCAUGUUGAUGUUGAGAUUUAGACAUGUAAGACAUCAAUCUUUAUGUACUUUAGUUUCUUAUAUCCUUAAUAAAAUGUUGAUGGAUACUUAGUUUUAUCUCAACUAAUGAAUAUCGUAGUACAAGCUUGAAAAGCGAUUGAACAAAACUAUUGAAGAUGGAUCUGGUCCGCUAUCCGAUGAGCAACUUUCUAUUGAGGUAUUUAGACAAAAAGUUGGCUACAUACGAGGCUUAGGGCGUGGUCGAAAACCAUGUACAGCAUUAUCUGAAAACGUACUCUUGCCUAACUCGACUAUAAUUAAUGCCAAAAUCGACUUCUUGAUGCCGUAGAUCAGUUAAAGAGGGUCCUCUAUUGAUUUUUCUUCUUAGUAAGUUAUCUUUUGUGAUCUAUAUUUGAUUUUUUUUGUGGGUUUCUAUACAGCAGCAUUAAGUAAUUUACACAUUCAGCUUGCAAUUGACAAAACAUACACAUUGCAUUAGCAUUCUCUCUCUCUCUCUCUCUCUCUCUCUCUUUAUAUAUAUAUAUAUAUAUAUAUCUCUGUUCUCAGUUAAUGUCUUCAUCAUCUGCUCAGAUGCUGCAUGAGUGGGACUUUUUUUUUUUCCCCCUAUGAUGUGAUCUCUACUGUUUGCUAGAAAAUGCAUGAAAUUUUACAUCUUUUGCUUCCAUAUACACGCGUAUAUUGAAUUGGUCUGUGUCGAGAAUUUUCUUGAGCUGCACGGCAAUUUUAUGGUUGAAGGAAAUGGAUCUUUUGGGUUGGGAAAGUUACUUUUGUUGGAUAUUGACGUCAGUGGGAGUUUAUUCCUCUUGCAAAUGUAUAUGUUUGUGGAGAAUGACUUGUCGUGAACAUAAAGUAAAGGUGAGCUUGCUCUCAAUUUGUCUUAAAUGUAAUUGGCUGUAAAUUAUAGGCUGCCUCAUUUACUGAUCAUUUUUUUUUU